rnacentral:rRNA from 1 species
CCUACGGGAGGCAGCAGUGAGGAAUAUUGGUCAAUGGGCGCGAGCCUGAACCAGCCAAGUCGCGUGAGGGAAGACGGUCCUAUGGAUUGUAAACCUCUUUUGUCGGGGAGCAAAAGACGCCACGCGUGGCGUUCCGAGAGUACCCGAAGAAAAAGCAUUGGCUAACUCCGUGCCAGCAGCCGCGGUAAUACGGAGGAUGCGAGCGUUAUCCGGAUGUAUUGGGUUUAAAGGGUGCGCAGGCGGAAGAUCAAGUCAGCGGUAAAAUUGAGGGGCUCAACCUCUUCGAGCCGUUGAAACUGGUUUUCUUGAGUGAGCGAGAAGUAUGCGGAAUGCGUGGUGUAGCGGUGAAAUGCAUAGAUAUCACGCAGAACUCCGAUUGCGAAGGCAGCAUACCGGCGCUCAACUGACGCUCAUGCACGAAAGUGUGGGUAUCGAACAGGAUUAGAUACCCUUGUAGUC